CGGGCUGUAGCGCAGCUUGGUAGCGCACCUGACUGGGGGUCAGGGGGUCGCAGGUUCAAAUCCUGUCAGCCCGAC
rnacentral:tRNA from 7 species